rnacentral:rRNA from 1 species
UACGUAGGGGGCAAGCGUUGUCCGGAAUCAUUGGGCGUAAAGCGCGUGUAGGCGGCUCGGUAAGUCUGCUGUGAAAGUCCAGGGCUCAACCCUGGGAUGCCGGUGGAUACUGUCGAGCUCGAGUCCGGAAGAGGCGAGUGGAAUUCCUGGUGUAGCGGUGAAAUGCGCAGAUAUCAGGAGGAACACCAAUGGCGAAGGCAGCUCGCUAGGACGUGACUGACGCUGAGACGCGAAAGCGUGGGGAGCAAACAGG